rnacentral:rRNA from 1 species
UGGGAAUAUUGCACAAUGGGGGAAACCCUGAUGCAGCGACGCCGCGUGGGUGAAGAAGUACUUCGGUACGUAAAGCCCUAUCAGCAGGGAAGAAAAUGACGGUACCUGAUUAAGAAGCCCCGGCUAACUACGUGCC